UUGGUCCUGGUUCGGGUGAUCUAGCAGGGGACUUAUAUUGUUAUCAACACUCAGCAACUUUGAGAGACUGCACAUACAGUUCAACCUUUGAUAACACUGGUGGCUGCACACACGAUGAUGAUGUGGGUGUCGUAUGUGAUGAAACUAAAUUUGUUAGUGGUGCUGUACGCCUUGUCAGUGGAAACGUACCCUAUGCAGGUAGAGUAGAGAUGUUUACAGGAGAACGCUGGGGGUCUAUAUGCGAUGUAUCCUGGGACAUUGAAGAUGCACAUGUAGUUUGCAGACAAGUAGGAUACAAACGAGCCACCUUUGCAAAGAAAGGGGCUUUCUUUGGCAUGAAUACAUACCGUGUGGUGGCUGUUGGAUACAACUGCCUUGGUACAGAACUAACGCUUGAUGAGUGCCCUAUAGCCCAUGGAACCAUCCUAUCUGACUGCACUCAUCAAAAUGAUAGUGGUGUC